UACGUAGGGUGCGAGCGUUAAUCGGAAUUACUGGGCGUAAAGCGUGCGCAGGCGGUUUUGUAAGUCUGUCGUGAAAUCCCCGGGCUCAACCUGGGAAUGGCGAUGGAGACUGCAAGGCCGGAAUCUGGCAGAGGGGGGUAGAAUUCCACGUGUAGCAGUGAAAUGCGUAGAGAUGUGGAGGAACACCGAUGGCGAAGGCAGCCCCCUGGGCUAAGAUUGACGCUCAUGCACGAAAGCGUGGGGAGCAAACAGG
rnacentral:rRNA from 1 species